GAAGGGCCGAGAGAGACUAGGAAUAAAAGAGAAAAGAAGAAAGAAAAAGGAAGAGGAGGAGGUUUCAAGCUAGGGUUCUCAACUUCUUCAAUUUCUCUUUUGAUUUAGAAUGGUAGGGACAUGAAAGCUAGGAAUAGCUUGUCAAUUGAGCCAAAUUUCUAUCCAUGGAUCUGUAGUAUUGGUCCCUGAUAGCUUGAGGAGCCUGGUGGUUUUAGAAUUAGAGCCACACGACAUAUUGAGUGACACGAUUCAUUUUGGUAGAACAAGAAGUAAUCGUUUUGGGCCCAUUGCAUUAUAUUUUUCAUAAAUAUUUGAUUUUGGCGCAUAUUUUGUAGUAAGUCAUAGUCAGCCUUGGUGGUGGAUCUAACAUCUAGUCAGCAUCUAUCAUCGGCGCACGUCACGUUCCUAGUCCAUUAGAGUGAUUCGGGACGAGACGUAUUAGAGUGGUAUCAAAGCAUGGUUUACAAAGUUAUGAAAGUCUUCAUAGUUCAUGCAUUGGAAUAUCAUGCAUAUUUAGUGCGUGUGGUCACACGUUGUGGUGGCAGAAAUUACAGGCUCUCAAGCUCGAAUGUAUGAAACCAAAAAUGAUAUAAAAAUAUUUUUUUUACGGAUCCAGAAAUGGAUAGUAUGUAAGUAUGAUAGUUGCAAUGAUUUGAUGAUUGAAAUUAUUAUUAGUUGCUGAUUUGGAACUGUGGUAAAUGUAACCUAUUAAGAGUUGAUUAGAUCAUAAUACAUAGGAAAAUCAUUGGUUAUAGCUUGCCCAAUAAAUACAGGUAAAUGAUAUAAUUUGUGUAAUUGGAGAUAAUCAGUGAAGGAUUUUAAUUAUUUUGGGGAAGCUAAAUUACCAUUAGCGCUAUUGAUAAUUGUGGUGAAUCGUAGCCACUUGUUUGGGAUGAGAAUAGAAAGCAUGUGGGUGUACACUUAUGCUAUAUGAUAAGAAUUUUGUAGAGGACAAAAUGAUAAUAUUAUAUAGAAUGUUGAUAAAUAAAAUACAAUGUUUUAUUAUGUAUAUUAUGCAUUGAGGAACUUAACAUUCAUGUGUACUUUGAGAAGAGUCUAGGAUGGGCUUAGUCGCCUUGACCAAUUAAAUGAUAGGUUACAAAAUGAGAAAGAUAGGUAGUGACAAAUGAGGUUAGAGGAAAAAAAAAAUUUACUCAAUGGGUUACUUAUUGGUAUAGAAACUUGGGGCCAAGGUGAUAGAAAAUGAUUACAUAAAGAGAUUAUGAAAUUUAUGGUGAAGUGGAAUUAUGUAUGGUAGUAUAGUAGUUAAGGAAAAUGGUGGGGGAAAAAUGAAUAAUAGAUGGAAGGAUUAAGAGUUCCAUUCAAGGAAAUAAAACUUUGAUAGGAAUAUAUAAUUGGGGACAUGUGUGGUCGGAAGUGACCAAGAGUAGAAAGAAAAGAGUAUGAAUUAGUGUUAAAUCACUGUGUACAUGAUAUAUGCAAUAGUACCAUAAAUUUAAGGAUAUGAGGAAAGAAAUGGCAUUGGGUUCUGUAUAAGUAUGUGUAUUUAUCGAAAGAAUGAGAAAAGAAAGAAAAUAGUAAAGAGAGGUAUGGAUAUCCAUUAAGGUUGUGAGUUGGGUAUACAGUGGUAUCGAUAUUGGAUCGUUAAAUAUGGGUAUAAUGAUUUUCAAUAAGGUUCAACAAAUUAAGUACGAUGAAUCAUCUUGUUCAACUUGGGAGACAAGACAUGACUAUAUUUUGUUGUUAUAUGGUACGAUGAUUUUCACUUGGAAAGGUUAUUUUAUUAUGAAAGGCAUUGUGAAUGGUGAUAAACAAGGGAUAGGACAGUUUUACAUAAACAGAAUUAUGUUAUAGUAUAGUCUGGUUAAAAUGUGAAUUGAUUUUCCUCUAGCCAUUAUUGGGUUUAUUAUGUUGGUUUAUAAGUUAUCGAGGACGACGUAUUAAAUUAUAAAUAUGGCUUAGUUUUAAGAGUUAUUUGUGAUUCCUUUGGGAUGACUAUCAUGUCAGUUAUAUGUUGAAUUUCAUGAGUAGAAUAUCUCAUUUUGAUCAUAAAGAUUUGAUAAAAAUUUCAUGUAUGACAUGUUAUUGUACGUAGAGCGUAAAAGGUGAAAUAAUGUUCUAUUAGAUAAGAGGUAGUUUUGAGCAUGUCAUUUAAGUGCACAGGAUUUUGUGGAUACAUUACAUAAAGUCAGUAAGGACAUAUCAUCACAUUGUACUACCAAGGAAGAUGGAAUACUAGUUAUGGUAAACAAGUUAGGUGGUCGAGAUGAUGCCCAAUAAAAAAAAAAGGGGGAAUAGAGAUAAAAUCUAGGUGUUGUGUUUUUCUUUCUUUAUUUAAGAAAUUGGUAAGCUUAAGUUUCUUACUUUAAUAUGAGUAAGUAUAUUUGAAGUUGUGCAAAACAUUGUAUUCUCUCUACAUAUAAUUGUGGUGCUUGAGAGAAUUAAAUUGACAAUGAAACGUGAAACAUGGAAAGAAAAGAAUGAGGAAUUGAAGACUGUAGUAGUAAAUUGUAUGUUAUAUAUGAUCAUAAUUGAAAAGUGAAAAUGGAAAAUUAGAAGAGAAGAAGAUAAGCGGAAUAUGUAUAUGGGUAUUGCAGGGAAUGAAUAUUUGUAGAGAAGAAGAAAUGAAAAAUUUUAAAUGAAAAGUUGGGAAUAACAUAUAUUGGUUCUUAGGAAAGUUAUUCAAAGCAUAUUAAUGAAAGAAUGAACUUUGAGCCUUGUUGAAGGUUGUUGGAGAAAUCAUUCGUUAUUUUUGCUUUCAUUUUUGAAGUGGUUAAGAUUGUCACACCCCUCAUUUUUAGUCAAAGUCAAGAAUUAUGAUUGGUCAAAGUCAAAGUCAAUAAAUGCUUAAAUUUAACAAAUAAUUUUCAUGGGACUUAAAUUGUAAUUUCAAGUAAUUGAGGGCUAGAAAUGAUAUAAUAAAGGAAUCCAAGGAUUUAGUUUCUAAUAUGGGAAAUGAAAUAACUAAAUGUGAUAUUGUAUGAAGAUUGGGGGAUUUGACUUGCAAUUAUUCAAUAUUUAUCCAUAUAUAUUAUCCAUUUUCUCAUUUUUGGGAAAAAAGAGAGAAGGGCUGAGAGAGACGGGGAAGAAAAGAGAAAAGAAGAAAGAAAAGGAAGAGGAGGAGGUUUCAAGUUAGGGUUCUCAACUUCUUCAAUUUCUCUUUUAUUUUACAAUGGUAAGUAUAUAAGUAUAUUGAAUUGAAAAUUUUGGGGUUUAUGGAAAAUUUAUUUUAAUUCGAAGUUUAGCAAUAAUUAGUUGUUAUUGAUAUGUAUUUGAGGUUAUAAAUAGGAAUAUAACAAAGAAAUGUUAUUUGAGUAUUGAAGUUGAAGAAAGUAGAAUUUUGAAAUGGGUUUGUAAGAUAGAAACAUAUUAUUUGAAUUUUUUGUGAUUAUAUGAUGUUAAACAUUUAAAUUAAGGAAUUAGGGUUGAUUUCUCCAUUUUUAAGUAAUUAUUAUAAGCAAUUUUUAGACAAAAUCCUACAUAGGUGUUAUUUGAAAAUCUGCCCAAAAUAGUGCUAAUUCUGUCAAAGGUUUUGCUGCCAGAUUUAAGUAAAAAAAUUGGUGCCAGAUUUCAAUAUUAUGGGAUUAUAGUGCUGUUUUUCUCAAAACUCUUAUUUUUGGAUUUUUAAAGGUUUUAAUGAAGUUAUAUGACAAGUGUUGAAGUUUAUGUAUUGGAAUAAAUUGUGUAUAGGGAUUGUAUAUGAAUAAGGUAUUGAUUUUAAGGAAGUACAAGUGAUUUAAUGGAAUUGAAAAUGAAAUUGUGAUUAAAUGAUGAAUCAUUAGAGAGGAGAAAAGUUGGGAAAUUGGAGAUACAAGAGAAAAUAUAGAAAUUGAGAAGUUGAGAGGUAGAAUUGUAUUAAUUUAAUUGUCUGAUUUUAAUUUGAGUAAUUAUAUCGUUAUUUCAGGUAGGGACAUGAAAGUUUGGAAUGACUCGUCAAUUUAACAAGAUUUCUAUUCAUGGAUUUGUGAGUGGAAAAAUCUAAAUAUUUUUAAAGUUUUAUGAAUUAGGUAUAUUAUCAAAGUAUGUGCAAUUAUGUGUUCGAAUUAUAUGGUUAUUACAGAAAAAUCUUUUAUUAGAAUACAUGUAAGAUUUCAAAGAUUGUAUACGGUACAUUGUGAAUUGGAAUGUGAGAUGUGAUUUUGA